CGUGUAGGCGGCUGAUUAAGUCUGGUGUGAAAGCCCGGGGCUCACCCCCGGAAGUGCGCUGGAAACUGGUCAGCUAGAGUAUGGGAGAGGGAAGUGGAAUUCCUGGUGUAGCGGUGAAAUGCGUAGAUAUCAGGAGGAACACCGGCGGCGAAGGCGGCUUCCUGGACCAAUACUGACGCUGAGACGCGAAAGCGUGGGGAGCAAACA
rnacentral:rRNA from 1 species